GGUCACGUAGCUCAAUGGUUAGAGCAUCGGUCUUAUAUGCCUCAGGUCGAGGGUUUGACCCCCUUCGAGACCA
rnacentral:tRNA from 1 species